AGAGAGAAUAUGUCCACACAACCAGCUAUCACAUGGACUAUGUGACGACAAUGGUCAAUGUCCAGAUCCCGGUCAUCAAUGUUACACCACGGACGACGAUCAACGUGUUUGCUGUAACAAAAACCUACCUACACCUAAACAACGUGAUUGUUUGAGUGGGAAACCAUGUGAAUCAAGCGAUGAUUGUCAGAAAUCAUACGAAUGCGUCGAGGGAAGUUGCUGUAAAACCUCUGACUCAGAUUCAUGCCCAAUGACAUAUUAUAUUAAUCCUCUGCUUGGUUGUAAUCUUAUUGUGGAAGAACAAGUUACUAACGAUAUUGCAAAACAGCGUUGUGCAAAUGAUGGAGGUUCACUUCUUUUGUUGAAAUCGAAGGAGGAGGCAGACGAACUAAUAAAAUUAAUGGCUCAGAUAGGUGUUUCUGAUGUCACUAUCCAAGGAUCCAAGAGUUUUUGCUUCUCUGACUGGGUAACAGAUAAUGGCAGCCCUCUUCCCUAUCGUCCUUCCACUAUAUUGUUUGACAGCGAUCCU